rfam:Salinivibrio sp. KP-1 scf7180000001582, whole genome shotgun sequence.
CUUAUUUGGUGGCACGGCUCCUCACGGGCGGUGUGACGCGCUGUAUAGACAGCCAUCCUAUUCACAACGCCCGCCACUGAUGCGGGCGUUUUUGU